GCAGUCGUGGCGGAGUGGUUAAGGCGAUGGACUAAAAAUCCACUGGGGUCUCCCCGCACAGGUUCGAGUCCUAUCGACUGCG
rnacentral:tRNA from 1 species